rnacentral:rRNA from 1 species
AGCACCAUGCCGCGUGGAGGAUGAAGGCCCUCUGGGUUGUAAACUUCUUUUAUAUGGGACGAAAAAGGGACUUUCUAGUUCAACUGACGGUACCAUAGGAAUAAGCACCGGCUAACUCCGUGCCAGCAGCCGCGGUAAUACGGAGGGUGCAAGCGUUAUCCGGAUUCACUGGGUUUAAAGGGAGCGUAGGUGGGUUGAUAAGUCAGUGGUGAAAUCUUCGAGCUUAACUCGGAAACUGCCAUUGAUACUAUCAGUCUUGAAUAUUGUGGAGGUUAGCGGAAUAUGUCAUGUAGCGGUGAAAUGCUUAGAUAUGACAUAGAACACCAAUUGCGAAGGCAGCUGGCUACACAUAUAUUGACACUGAGGCUCGAAAGCGUGGGGAUCAAACAGGAUUAGAUACCCUGGUAGUCCACGCCCUAAACUAUGGAUACUCGACAUACGCGAUACACUGUGUGUGUCUGAGCGAAAGCAUUAAGUAUCCCACCUGGGAAGUACGAUCGCAAGAUUGAAACUCAAAUGAAUUGACGGAUAA